rnacentral:rRNA from 1 species
UUGUGCCUACGGGAGGCAGCAGUGAGGAAUAUUGGUCAAUGGGCGCUAGCCUGAACCAGCCAAGUAGCGUGAAGGAUGACUGCCCUAUGUGUUGUAAACUUCUUUUAUAUGGGAAUAAAGUGCAGUAUGUAUACUGCUUUGCAUGUACCUUAUGAAUAAGGAUCGGCUAACUCCGUGACAGCAGCCGCGGUAAUACGGAGGAUCCGAGCGUUAUCCGGAUUUAUUGGGUUUAAAGUGAGCGUAUGCGAGUUGUUACGCCAGUUGUGAACGUUUGCGGCUCAACCGUAAAAUUGCAGUUGAUCCUG